GCAUAAGGUCGUAGAGUGCACUCGUUGCCAGUUUGAAGACAAAUUCUGGUUUUCCUUCCUGGUUGCUCAUUUUUGAUAUUUAACUUUGAAACAAAUCUACCGUGGUACACUAAAUCAGAUAUUCAAAUGUGAAUUCGAUAAUCAGAUGUGAAUCAGGGUUUGAAGUUGGAGAAGCAGAACAAAAGUUCGUCUAGUGAAUCGCUCGUGACUGACCCGCCCACAGGACACUACAACAUUCCGUAUUGGCUCAUUGAAAUGGAUGGUCCCAAGGGUUCAGAACUCAAUGACACCGUUCCAGGUGUGUAUAAACACAGAGACACUCACUGCAUCACUUACAGUGGCUCCAGGACUAAAGCAAGAGUCAAGAAAUAUUUGCCUGAAACUGGAGCGGCCUUCAAAUAUAUUUAGAUUUGGCUUAUAAAGAAAAGGUAUGGUGGACUUUUCUAGAAUGGCGGAGCGGCUGCUGAAACUAGCUGUUCCUAUCCAUCUAAUAUAUUCUUCUGUUGGUUUGUACAUUCC